UUGUAAUGCUAAUCACAAACUUAAUUGUAGAUACGUUUUUGUAUUUUAUGAACCGUUAUAAUGGAGAUUAACAAAUGUACAUCCGUCAAUCUUGACAAGCUUAUCGACAAUUUCACCCAACUUGAACAGACAAUUACAGAUCUCAAGGGUAGGAACAACAUCCUAGAGAUUAAACUGGACGAGGCCGAUAGAGUUCUGAAAUUCGCAUUGACCAAAGAAAUGUUUUUGAUUGAAGAGAGAGAUGGGAUGCUGAACACAGUCAGGGGACUCCAGCAGACUGUACAGCAGCAGUGUGACCUCAGAGUGGAGAACGAAAAGCUAAAAAGCAGGCUGGCAGCCCUGAACAGACAGCAUGAGAGGAUAGUGGAGGAGCGGGAGGCUGAGGUGAGGAGCCUGGUGGCUGAGAGGGGAGUCGUGGCAGAAGCUCACCAGAGGGAGCUGGAGACUGUGCGACAGCAGUGCGGGAGCGAGGCGGAGAGGGUUCGCUGUGAGACACGCAGCAAACUGGAGGCUAAAGAGGCAGAGGUGAGAGAGCUUCUGGGAAGGAAGGAGGGUGAGGUUGAGGACAUGAGGCAGAGACUCCGGGACAAGGAGCGAGAAAGGCAGAGUGAAAUGCUCAAACUGCAAAUGGAGUUUGGAGCUGAGAUGGCCCGUGUUCAGAGCACGUCUGAGAGGAGCCAGCAGCCUCCACGGGGCUCCAGCCUCCAAGCACAGAACAUCUUCAAACGGAAGCUGCAUUUCCUGCAGGAGGAGAAGAACAGGGAGAUUGAGUCCCUACGUCAAAGAAUCAAGGAAUUGGAACAGCAGCAUGCCAGCGGACUGUGCGACUCACGUCUGAAGAGGAAGAAGACCUAGUGGUCCUUCACUCUCACCAAGCUUCUCACCAGCCAGACAUCUGCAAACUAUUUAGCUGAAGUUGGCCUUUUGACGCUGAAGGUGUUCCCAUUGCACACAGGCAACAUUCACUGCGGUUCUGUUUGUCUUAAUUCAUUAGAGCAUGUUCUAGAAGUUGGUUUUUAUUGUGUCCUGAUUUCAUUCCUGCGUAAAUAGAUUCCAGCAGAACUGUCUGUUGAAAGGAACAGGAAUCACAGAUGGGGCUGUGCUGGGAAAAAGGACAUGGUCAAGGUUAAGGUCAAGGUGUAGUUUAUACAGGUGACAGAGAGGAGCUAUUAGAUAGAUAGAUGGAUACAUACAUACAUGAUCAGAAGUGCAUAGCUCUGAUCUAUCAUCUCAAACUACAAUAGUACAAUGCAGCAACAUUUUAAAUGUUGGGUGCAGUCUCUUUCCAGACAGCGGUACAACAGCAUCACAGAUACAAAGUGCAGAAAGAUUUAGAUCAGAUUGAUAAAGAAAUUGAUAGAUAUUAGAACAGAUAUAUCCAGGUGUCCAGAAAGGGCCUAUAUGAACAAGCAUGCAUGAGCCCCACACACAUGUAAACACAGGCGCUGAGACAGCACCAAGCCUUUAAUCCAAUCAGCAUGGACUCUUGGUCCCUGCACGCUGGAUGAAGACCACAUGGGGAGAGGAGAAGCAGGGAGAGGACACACACUGCGUCAUGUCCCUGUAUGUGUGACAUCACGUUUCUGCAGACAGCGACCUUCCAAUCCCACCCACUCCAUCUCACAAGGACCUCUCACCUGAAGGCUUAAGUUUGCAGAGUGAGAACGCUCUUCCAGGGAUUUCCAUAGUUAACUGUAAUCUCUUCAUCUGUGGUGUGCCAUACUGACGAAGGGCCACAGCUAAUCUCAUCCACUUAAACCUGUUGCGUAACAUGAUCCCGAGCUUUCAGUCAGUCAAAAAGUCAAUCCUCCCUUGCACGAAAGAACCGCUUGUUCAGAUACAGAGAAUGCUGACUAACUGGUCUGUAACCAUGACUACAGAGCCAAACAUAAGGAGAGAAAUCUGUUUGAUUCACGACCAAACAUUGGUUUUGAUGUGGAACCAUUUCCUAGACAUCCGACUAGUAACUUGAAGGGAUUGGGACACACAAAAAUAAAUGGAUUAGAGGACAUGACACCACUGUGUUCUCAGUUCAGGGGGGUUGGAGGUGGAUGGAGGGGAGGAUGACGACAGAGAGAGAGGCAGAGGAGGGAGGAACGUCUCAGUGUGUGUCUUGCUUGCAGUCAGAUCUCCACACCUCCUUCACCACAGGCCAGGCAGACUUUACCAGACAGCUCACCGAGGGAGCCCAGCUUCUCACAAAGAGUCCGACUGGCUCGCGCCACAGACACACCGACGCCACUAUCCGGGACAACCGGAGCCUUUUGAAUCCAAUGGAGUUAGGUGUGGGUGGGACGGCCUCCGGUGGGGAUUGAGGAGGUCUUUACUCGGAAACGAAUAGUCAUGAUGGAAGAACUGACCCAUAACUUAAACGUAAUGGGUAAGUACUGCAACAUGUAUUCAUCUUACAGUCCUCUUGACCUUAAAAAUAUAGUCAAAAGAAUCGUAAAAUGCUUGAGGAGUUCAGCUUUAAACUAUUGAACCUGUGUCUAUGUAUCUAUGAUUUGAUUCAUUAUUGUUCCAUUGAGAUCUUGUUGAGAAGAUAUGCCUUUGUUUUUGUAAGAUCUCAUGUGUUGAGAUCUUAAAUAGUGUUCUGUUGACCAAGUGGCCGCAUGCGCUCACGAUGUGUAUUGUGUACAGUUCGCAGACCGUU